rnacentral:rRNA from 1 species
AACGAACGCUGGCGGCAGGCUUAACACAUGCAAGUCGAACGCAUCCUUCGGGGUGAGUGGCAGACGGGUGAGUAACGCGUGGGAACGUGCCCUCCAGUUCGGGAUAACCCAGGGAAACUUGGGCUAAUACCGGAUACGUGCGAGAGCAGAAAGAUUUAUCGCUGAAGGAUCGGCCCGCGUCUGAUUAGCUAGUUGGUGGGGUAAUGGCCCACCAAGGCGACAAUCAGUAGCUGGUCUGAGAGGAUGGUCAGCCACAUUGGGACUGAGACACGGCCCAAACUCCUACGGGAGGCAGCAGUGGGGAAUAUUGGACAAUGGGCGCAAGCCUGAUCCAGCCAUGCCGCGUGAGUGAUGAAGGCCUUAGGGUUGUAAAGCUCUUUCGUCCGGGACGAUAAUGACGGUACCGGAAGAAGAAGCCCCGGCUAACUUCGUGCCAGCAGCCGCGGUAA